rnacentral:rRNA from 1 species
UAGUUUGAUUAUGGCUCAGGAUGAACGCUGGCGGCAUGCCUAAUACAUGCAAGUCGAACGGAGUGAAGCCUUCGGGUUUCAUUCAGUGGCGAACGGGUGAGUAAUACGCAGGGAACCUGGCCAUGGCAGGGGGAUACACUCUGGAAACGGAGCAUAAGACCCCAUAGGCAGUAAGGCGGCAUCGCCUUACUGUUAAAGAAAGCUGAAAGGCUUUGGCGAUGGAUGGACCUGCGGUGCAUUAGCUUGUUGGUGAGGCAACGGCUUACCAAGGCGAUGAUGCAUAGCCGGCCUGAGAGGGCGGACGGCCACACUGGGACUGAGACACGGCCCAGACUCCUGCGGGAGGCAGCAGUAGGGAAUUUUCGUCAAUGGGCGCAAGCCUGAACGAGCAAUGCCGCGUGAGUGAGGAAGGUCUUCGGACUGUAAAGCUCUGUUGCCGGGGAAAAAGGGGAAACGCAGGAAAUGGCAUUUCAUGGAUGGUACCCGGCCAGAAAGCCACGGCUAACUACGUGCCAGCAGCCGCGGUAAUACGUAGGAGGCGAGCGUUAUCCGGAAUGAUUGGGCGUAAAGGGUGCGCAGGCGGUCUGUUAAGUCUGAAGGCAAAGGGAUGAGCUCAACUCAUUUAUGAUUCAGAAACUGGCAGACUUGAGGACAGGAGAGGGCGGUGGAACUCCAUGUGUAGCGGUAAAAUGCGCAGAGAUAUGGAAGAACACCAGUGGCGAAGGCGGCCGCCUGGCCUGUGACUGACGCUGAGGCACGAAAGCGUGGGGAGCAAAUAGGAUUAGAUACCCUAGUAGUCCACGCCGUAAACGAUGAGGAGCAGGUGUUGGGAGUGAAAUCUCAGUGCCGAAGCCAACGCAGUGACUCCUCCGCCUGGGGAGUAUGCACGCAAGUGUGAAACUCAAAGGAAUUGACGGGGGCCCGCACAAGCGGUGGAGUAUGUGGUUUAAUUCGAAGCAACGCGAAGGACCUUACCAGGUUUUGACAUCGGAUGCGAAGGUGCAGAGAUGCGCUGGAGGCUAUCAUCCAGACAGGUGGUGCAUGGUUGUCGUCAGCUCGUGUCGUGAGAUGUUCAGUUAAGUCUGGCAACGAGCGCAACCCCCGUGGUAUGUUACUAACGCUUAGGGCGAGGACUCAUAUCAGACUGCCGGUGACAAACCGGAGGAAGGCGGGGAUGACGUCAAAUCAUCAUGCCCCUUAUGACCUGGGCUACACACGUACUACAAUGGCGUCUACAGAGGGAAGCGACCCUGAGAAGGGAAGCGAAACCGGAAAAGGGCGUCCCAGUUCGGAUUGAAGUCUGCAACCCGACUUCAUGAAGAUGGAAUCGCUAGUAAUCGCGGAUCAGCAUGCCGCGGUGAAUACGUUCCCGGGCCUUGUACACACCGCCCGUCAAACCAUGGAAGCCGGCAACGCCCGAAGCCGGUGGCAUAACCUUUUAGGAGUGAGCCGUCGAAGGCGGGGCCGAUGACUGGGGUUAAGUCGUAACAAGGUAUCC